rnacentral:lncRNA from 1 species
UGGCGUAGGAGCUUAAAUAAUCGGAGGGCAUAGCAGUAAAUAGAUCGAGUCCCCCCUUUUACAGAGAGGGAAAAUCACGCACAAACAAGGGUUUAAGAAUCAAGAUAGUUUCAAUGGCGAAACCCCAGCUAACAAUGAUUCGGCCAUGGUUUCUCGAUCUCGUACCGCUCGUGGUUGUUCUUCUCAUUGUUGCUCACGUCCUCGCUCUGGUCAGAAUCUCUACACCGUGAGAUCAGAACAAUAUUGAUCGAAUUUGUGUUGUUUUGCGUUGAUGUGUUUUUGCGCGCAGGUUUAUUGGGUUUACAGACUGGCAACUGAUAAGCAGCCUGGAAGAACUAAGAGGCACUAAGCAAGCAGUGAAUUCACUUCCGUUUAUGGAAAUGUUAAAGAGGCAAGUAGAGUUUGCUGUUCUAUUACUUAGUCAAAUUUAGUGUUUAUUUAGAUUCGUUAAUGUUUUUGUACUUCGGUUUCUGUUGUGCGAUUAUUUAAGUGCUCGUUUGAAACUAACUUUAGAUAGUUUUGGGUAAUUAGGUUUUCUUACGAUCUUGUACAGUGCAAUUUUAUUUUUCUUUCAGUUUUGUUGAAGUUGUUGGUCGAAAGGAAAAUAGAGAAUCAAUAAAUUGAGCUAUGGAUUUCCUUCUAAACGUAAGAAAGUUUUAUUGCUGUUUAUGUGGAUUUGAUGAUAGCUCAAGUCAGAAUGCUCAAUGAUGAAUGUCUAUCAUAAAUAGAGGCAGUAUCUUGCAUCAACCUCAUCUAAUGUGUGGGUUAUCGGAUGAGGAUCUGAAUGUUUUUCUAAACAUCCAGUCAUCAGUCUGCCAUCACAUUGAUAAUGGUUGGAUAAAAAUUCUAGAGAGUUGACAGUUAGAUAGUGAGAAGCUAGAACUAACCAUAUUUGAACUUUGAAGAUAGUUUAGCUGGUUUUUUAUUUUCAUGAGAACAUUAUUCCAAUUCGGGUAACAACCUGGGUUAUAUUAUGAUUGCUUUUCCUUGUCUCAGGCAAUCCUUUGGUGGAUUCUUUCAUUUUUACUGAGUUCCCAUGUAAGUUCACUUGGAGGAGAUUAGCAGUUUCUUGUAUAACAAUUUAAACGCGACCAAUUCUUGAUAGCUUCAUUUUAGAGGUUUGUGGGAGAUAUAUGUUGGUGAAUGUAAAAUAACAAUUAUAGUUGGAUGAUAAUGGCUGUAACAUUUCUGUAUGUUCUCUGGAUAUGUAAGUCAAUCUUUACCCGUUCUUCUAAAAUGUAUGUUGUCAUGUGAAUUUCAGUUUGUAAGUAGUGCUGCAUAUAUAACUGAAAUUUCUUACUUGUUUCCUUCAUAAAUAAUCUAUACUAUAUACUUCAAUAGAAAGUGAAAGUAAAGCUUUCAGUUAUCACUUAUGAUUGAAUGUGAGUGCUAAGUUGAUCUUUGACAAUGGAAAUAUAUCUUGUUGGUGCUAAAGUGGAUUAGGAUUCUCAUAAAGCAUUAAAUAUAAUCAUUCCGUUCUUGUUCUUAUCAUUUAUGGUAUUAUCUGUUAGAA